rnacentral:rRNA from 1 species
UGGGGAAUUUUGGACAAUUGGGCGAAAGCCUGAUCCAGCAAUGCCGCGUGUGUGAAGAAGGCCUUCGGGUUGUAAAGCACUUUUGUCCGGAAAGAAAUCCUUGGCUCUAAUACAGUCGGGGGAUGACGGUACCGGAAGAAUAAGCACCGGCUAACUACGUGCCAGCAGCCGCGGUAAUACGUAGGGUGCAAGCGUUAAUCGGAAUUACUGGGCGUAAAGCGUGCGCAGGCGGUUUGCUAAGACCGAUGUGAAAUCCCCGGGCUCAACCUGGGAACUGCAUUGGUGACUGGCAGGCUAGAGUAUGGCAGAGGGGGGUAGAAUUCCACGUGUAGCAGUGAAAUGCGUAGAGAUGUGGAGGAAUACCGAUGGCGAAGGCAGCCCCCUGGGCCAAUACUGACGCUCAUGCACGAAAGCGUGGGGAGCAAACAGGAUUAGAUACCCUGGUAGUCCACGCCCUAAACGAUGUCAACUAGUUGUUGGGGAUUCAUUUCCUAGUAACGUAGCUAACGCGUGAAGUUGACCGCCUGGGGAGUACGGUCGCAAGAUUAAAACUCAAAUGAAUUGACGGGGUCAUAGCUGUUUCCCU